GACGAACGCUGGCGGCGUGCCUAAUACAUGCAAGUCGAACGCUGAAGGAGGAGCUUGCUUCUCCGGAUGAGUUGCGAACGGGUGAGUAACGCGUAGGUAACCUGCCUGGUAGCGGGGGAUAACUAUUGGAAACGAUAGCUAAUACCGCAUAACAGUAGAUAUUGCAUGAUAUCUGCUUGAAAGGUGCAAUUGCAUCACUACCAGAUGGACCUGCGUUGUAUUAGCUAGUUGGUGAGGUAACGGCUCACCAAGGCGACGAUACAUAGCCGACCUGAGAGGGGGAUCGGCCACACUGGGACUGAGACACGGCCCAGACUCCUACGGGAGGCAGCAGUAGGGAAUCUUCGGCAAUGGACGGAAGUCUGACCGAGCAACGCCGCGGGAGUGAAGAAGGUUUUCGGAUCGUAAAGCUCGGUUGUAAGAGAAGAACGAGUGUGAGAGUGGAAAGUUCACACUGUGACGGUAUCUUACCAGAAAGGGACGGCUAACUACGUG
rnacentral:rRNA from 1 species